rnacentral:rRNA from 1 species
UAGGGAAUCUUCCACAAUGGGCGAAAGCCUGAUGGAGCAACGCCGCGUGUGUGAUGAAGGCUUUCGGGUCGCAAAGCACUGUUGUAUGGGAAGAACAGCUAGAAUAGGAAAUGAUUUUAGUUUGACGGUACCAUACCAGAAAGGGACGGCUAAAUACGUGCCAG